CGGGCGGCCGUGACCCUGCUGGAGUGCGGGGGGGACCUCCAGCCCCCCGGGGGGUCCCUGACUCUGCUCUGCCGUGGGUCUGGGUUCACGUUUGGGAGCUACGGAAUGUACUGGAUCCGCCAGAGACCUGGGAAGGCGCUGGAAUGGGUCGCAGGGAUCCGCCGGAGCAGUGGCACAAUCUACUAUGCACCGUCGGUCAAGGGCCGGUUCACCCUCGUGAGUGACAACGGGCAGAGCUCAGUGACGCUGACCAUGAACAACCUCAAGGACGAGGAUUCCGCCGUUUAUUUCUGUGCCAAAAAUGCUAAUGCUGGUGGUGAUCAUGCUGAUGCUGAAUCUGUUGAUGGUGUCGACCGCGUCCCAAUCGAGAACCGGCCCUGCACCGAGGGCAGGUACCAGGUGUGGGCUCCUUUCCUGCCAAAUGAGGUGAUACUGGCGACAACUUCCAGAGCCUUCCCUGGUCUUUGGCGCAUCCAGAACAUUGCAUAG